GGAGGCAGCAGUGGGGAAUAUUGGACAAUGGGGGGAACCCUGAUCCAGCCAUGCCGCGUGUGUGAAGAAGGCCUUUUGGUUGUAAAGCACUUUAAGCGAGGAGGAGGCUACCGAGAUUAAUACUCUUGGAUAGUGGACGUUACUCGCAGAAUAAGCACCGGCUAACUCUGUGCCAGCAGCCGCGGUAAUACAGAGGGUGCAAGCGUUAAUCGGAUUUACUGGGCGUAAAGCGCGCGUAGGUGGCCAAUUAAGUCAAAUGUGAAAUCCCCGAGCUUAACUUGGGAAUUGCAUUCGAUACUGGUUGGCUAGAGUAUGGGAGAGGAUGGUAGAAUUCCAGGUGUAGCGGUGAAAUGCGUAGAGAUCUGGAGGAAUACCGAUGGCGAAGGCAGCCAUCUGGCCUAAUACUGACACUGAGGUGCGAAAGCAUGGGGAGCAAACAGGAUUAGAUACCCUGGUAGUCCAUGCCGUAAACGAUGUCUACUAGCCGUUGGGGCCUUUGAGGCUUUAGUGGCGCAGCUAACGCGAUAAGUAGACCGCCUGGGGAGUACGGUCGCAAGACUAAAACUCAAAUGAAUUGACGGGGGCCCGCACAAGCGGUGGAGCAUGUGGUUUAAUUCGAUGCAACGCGAAGAACCUUACCUGGUCUUGACAUAGUAAGAACUUUCCAGAGAUGGAUUGGUGCCUUCGGGAACUUACAUACAGGUGCUGCAUGGCUGUCGUCAGCUCGUGUCGUGAGAUGUUGGGUUAAGUCCCGCAACGAGCGCAACCCUUUUCCUUAUUUGCCAGCGGGUUAAGCCGGGAACUUUAAGGAUACUGCCAGUGACAAACUGGAGGAAGGCGGGGACGACGUCAAGUCAUCAUGGCCCUUACGACCAGGGCUACACACGUGC
rnacentral:rRNA from 1 species